UCUCUGGCUAACAGACAAUUGCCUCCUCAAAUAUCAAGCUUUGCUCCUAAAGGGAUCUGCAGUCCAGUUAAAAACCCGCCCUUGCCUGAGCCCAGUCACUUUCUCCCAGAGAAAACUGGGGAGCCUGAACAUAAUUGUGAACAGGUAGUGGUGCAAACUGGAAAAACAAAUGGACACAAUUGGAAAAACUGGUUGUUUCACCAACGCUUUGACUGGAAGGGUGUGUUCCCCUUUAAGGAGUCAGGCUUGACUUGCAAAGCCAAUAAAAAGCGCCUUAGGAAACUGGCCUCAUACCUAGACUACAGCUUCUCAGUACAGGGCUCCUAGCCUGCGACUGGAAUGACAAAAACUCAAAGAAAUGCAUAAUCACAAGGACACCAUAACUUAUGAAUGACAUGCUGAGACUGGAAACCCAAAAUGAUGGUAACAAAGUGGUGGUAAUGCCUUACAUUUUUGUCAUAUUCUCACCCAGAGCUUACCAUAACUGGCACAUAUCUUCACAUAAGCAUCAUAUAAAGAGCAGCAGAUGUUAGUGACAGAAGCUGCUGGGCAAAAUGUGCAGAAGAAUAUCCUCAUUACUUCUAUUGCUUACAAGAUUUCAUCCAAGAUACUACAUUACAGUUAAUGUUCAUGUCUCCUGAUUCCUCUUGAUUUUCCUUGCUUUUAAUGACCUUGAUAAGUUUUGAGGCAUACUGGUCUGGUAUACUGUAGGAUGCCCUCUGUUGGAAUUUGUAAAAUUCCAAUAUGAUUAGAAUAAAUUUCACAAAUCUAUUGAUUAUGCGAAAGUUGUCAGAAUCAAAAUGGAGUCACUUGCAUUAAAAUUCCUGACAAAGAGACCCAGGGAAGGUCUCGAAGGGAAGUUUCUCACGCCCAGAUGCCUGGUAACAAGAACUAUCACAGAAGACUGCAGAAACCACAACCUUGCACAAACCCA